rfam:Ovis aries breed Texel chromosome 14, whole genome shotgun sequence.
UCCCAGCUGGCUUCGUAGGUAAAGAACCUACCUGCAAUGCAGGAGGCACGGGUUCGAUCCCUGGCCUGGGAA